ACUUCGUGUUGUCCAUGGAGCCCCAUGGGCUAGCUUGUUGGAUGUCGUGGGGUCUGUGGAAAGCAUCUGUGAAUAUAGGACAGAGUUUGAAAUGUCUGCAAGGGAAGCAUCAGGAAAUGGUUAAGGUGAGCCUUCCACGGGGGCAAUUGCCCUGCGAGUUGGUGUCACUUUGGCAGUUCUGAGCCUCAGUUUCCUUGUGCAUAAAAUGAGGCCGGUAGAGCCCGAAGCACUGAAUGAGCUCAGGUGAACACCUGGCCAGGCCCAGGUCCCUGCACCUGGUCCUGCAUCAGGUGGCGCUCUGGCUCUGGCGGGUGCCCCAGGCCAUGUGAUGUAGAGGAAGGGGCAGGUGUUCUGGAAUGAGAAGAAUGGAACUCUAGUCCCAGCCCACCUCUGUGACCUAGGACAGUGCAUUCUCCUCCCCAAACUACAGUUUCCUCAUCCGGGAGAGGAAUAAUGUAAAGAAAAGGAAUAAUAAAAAAAAACCCACACAAUGCAAAUUUUCAAAAGCGAAAUGCCUGCUCUGGGCGUCCUUGGCGGAGAGGGUAGCAGAUGACUUCCUAGUUCAGGAAAACACCUUGAUUAAGUUGUGUGGUUUUUGUUAGAACUGAGAAGCCUCCUGGUCACAGUCCGGGCAGAAGAUGUCAACAUGUACGGAAAGCGAGGAGCUACUCUGCAGAAAAAGGUACAGGCGUUGGUCUCUGCCCCCUCCUGAGCACUUGCUGACAUAGAGGAAAACAUGUAUAAAAACUGUGAUCCCACGAGGACAAAGAGAAUAGAAAAGGCAUCGACGGGAGAGCAGUGCAACACGCUGCAGAGGCGGGAUUCGGGUGGAGGGAGGUGACACAUGCAGAGGGCGGGAGACCCGUGACACCAGCAGCAGUGCCAUCGAAGAGGAAGUGAGUGCGCCAAGAGUCCCAGAAGGUCCGACCGAGGGGAGCAGCUGGCGAGCACAAGGCGCAGAGUGUCAGCUGCCAGGCCAAUUACUGGAACAUUUACUAAAGAAGAAGACUCACACGUGCUUUCACCUGUGGGGCGCCCAGUAGCAGAGCGGCUUCCUUGCCCCAACCCCCAGACGCAUGUGUGCGUGCCUGUGCCUUUAAGUGCACUGAAUUCUCACUUACUAUAAGAGAAGACCAAUACGCAAUAUCUAAAAACCAAUCAAUAAAUCAAAUAUAGCAAUAAAAGCUUUUACUUUAGAAA